CUCAGUUUAGUCACAAAAUUAUAACACAGAAAAACAGUUCGUACCCUUAUACGAAAAUAUUAAAGUGCGAAAAAUGCAACGAGGUCACGUUUUAUCUGACUAGGAAGUAAAAAGUUUGGAAAUCGGAUCGUUUUGUAAAGUCAGAUAAACAAACAUAGUACGGUUUACAAUUUAUAAAGAGAUAUUUAUUUCUUUCGUGUCAUCUGCGUUAGAUUGAAUGUGUGUUGUUUAUACGAGUAUAACGUGACUUUGCUUUUGUAAAAUUCAUUUUUAUUUUACGAUUUUGGACUUUAAACUGUGAAAUAUUGUAUUUUGUGGUUUUUAGAAUGUGCACAGAUGAGUCAUGGCUAUGAACAUAGCACCAGAGAGCAAACCGCAACAGCGACCUCUACCUUCUCCAAGGUCGCCUAAUGUGCGCGCGCGACCUAUAUUCCUGAA